rnacentral:rRNA from 1 species
GAUGAACGCUAGCGGCAGGCCUAACACAUGCAAGUCGAGGGGUAACAGAGAUAGCUUGCUAUUUGCUGACGACCGGCGCACGGGUGCGGAACGCGUAUGGAACCCGCCCCUGUCAGGGGAAUAGCCCAGAGAAAUUUGGAUUAAUGCCCCAUGGUAACAUUUUAUCGCAUGAUGAGGUGUUUAAAGAUUUAUCGGACAGGGAUGGCCAUGCGUACCAUUAGCUGGUUGGUGAGGUAACGGCUUACCAAGGCAACGAUGGUUAGGGGCCCUGAGAGGGGGAUCCCCCACACUGGUACUGAGACACGGACCAGACUCCUACGGGAGGCAGCAGUGAGGAAUAUUGGACAAUGGCCGGAAGGUUGAUCCAGCCAUGCCGCGUGCAGGAUGACUGCCCUAUGGGUUGUAAACUGCUUUUAUACGGGAAGAAACCUCCCCUCGUGAGGGGAGCUGACGGUACCGUAAGAAUAAGGACCGGCUAACUCCGUGCCAGCCGCCGCC